GAGUUUGAUCCUGGCUCAGGACGAACGCUGGCGGCAUGCCUAAUACAUGCAAGUCGAACGCACGAAGUUGAAAAGCUUGCUUUUCGACCAAGUGAGUGGCGGACGGGUGAGUAACACGUGGGUAACCUGCCCAUAAGAGGGGGAUAACAUUCGGAAACGGAUGCUAAUACCGCAUAUUUCAAGUGACCGCAUGGUCGCUUGAUGAAAAGUGGCUUCGGCUACCACUUAUGGAUGGACCCGCGGUGCAUUAGUUAGUUGGUGAGGUAAUGGCUCACCAAGACCAUGAUGCAUAGCCGACCUGAGAGGGUGAUCGGCCACACUGGGACUGAGACACGGCCCAGACUCCUACGGGAGGCAGCAGUAGGGAAUCUUCUGCAAUGGACGAAAGUCUGACGGAGCAAUGCCGCGUGAGUGAAGAAGGUUUUCGGAUCGUAAAACUCUGUUGUUAGAGAAGAACAAGGAUGAGAGUAACUGCUCAUCCCCUGACGGUAUCUAACCAGAAAGCCACGGCUAACUACGUGCCAGCAGCCGCGGUAAUACGUAGGUGGCAAGCGUUGUCCGGAUUUAUUGGGCGUAAAGCGAGCGCAGGCGGUUCUUUAAGUCUGAUGUGAAAGCCCCCGGCUCAACCGGGGAGGGUCAUUGGAAACUGGAGAACUUGGGUGCAGAAGAGGAGAGUGGAAUUCCAUGUGUAGCGGUGAAAUGCGUAGAUAUAUGGAGGAACACCAGUGGCGAAGGCGACUCUCUGGUCUGUAACUGACGCUGAGGCUCGAAAGCGUGGGGAGCAAACAGGAUUAGAUAC
rnacentral:rRNA from 1 species